CAGUCGCCGCGGUAAUACGAAGGGGGCUAGCGUUGCUCGGAAUGACUGGGCGUAAAGGGCGCGCAGGCGGAUUGUUUAGUUAGGCGUGAAAUUCCUGGGCUUAACCUGGGGACUGCGCUCAAUACAGGCAGUCUAGAGUGAGGAAGAGGGUUGUGGAAUUCCCAGUGUAGAGGUGAAAUUCGUAGAUAUUGGGAAGAACACCGGUGGCGAAGGCGGCAACCUGGUCCUUGACUGACGCUGAGGCGCGAAAGCGUGGGGAGCAAACAGGAUUAGAUACCCCUGUAGUCCCUGUCUCUUAUAC
rnacentral:rRNA from 1 species